rnacentral:rRNA from 1 species
GACGAACGCUGGCGGCGUGCCUAAUACAUGCAAGUCGAACGAACUCUGGUAUUGAUUGGUGCUUGCAUCAUGAUUUACAUUUGAGUGAGUGGCGAACUGGUGAGUAACACGUGGGAAACCUGCCCAGAAGCGGGGGAUAACACCUGGAAACAGAUGCUAAUACCGCAUAACAACUUGGACCGCAUGGUCCGAGCUUGAAAGAUGGCUUCGGCUAUCACUUUUGGAUGGUCCCGCGGCGUAUUAGCUAGAUGGUGGGGUAACGGCUCACCAUGGCAAUGAUACGUAGCCGACCUGAGAGGGUAAUCGGCCACAUUGGGACUGAGACACGGCCCAAACUCCUACGGGGGGCAGCAGUAGGGAAUCUUCCACAAUGGACGAAAGUCUGAUGGAGCAACGCCGCGUGAGUGAAGAAGGGUUUCGGCUCGUAAAACUCUGUUGUUAAAGAAGAACAUAUCUGAGAGUAACUGUUCAGGUAUUGACGGUAUUUAACCAGAAAGCCACGGCUAACUACGUGCCAGCAGCCGCGGUAAUACGUAGGUGGCAAGCGUUGUCCGGAUUUAUUGGGCGUAAAGCGAGCGCAGGCGGUUUUUUAAGUCUGAUGUGAAAGCCUUCGGCUCAACCGAAGAAGUGCAUCGGAAACUGGGAAACUUGAGUGCAGAAGAGGACAGUGGAACUCCAUGUGUAGCGGUGAAAUGCGUAGAUAUAUGGAAGAACACCAGUGGCGAAGGCGGCUGUCUGGUCUGUAACUGACGCUGAGGCUCGAAAGUAUGGGUAGCAAACAGGAUUAGAUACCCUGGUAGUCCAUACCGUAAACGAUGAAUGCUAAGUGUUGGAGGGUUUCCGCCCUUCAGUGCUGCAGCUAACGCAUUAAGCAUUCCGCCUGGGGAGUACGGCCGCAAGGCUGAAACUCAAAGGAAUUGACGGGGGCCCGCACAAGCGGUGGAGCAUGUGGUUUAAUUCGAAGCUACGCGAAGAACCUUACCAGGUCUUGACAUACUAUGCAAAUCUAAGAGAUUAGACGUUCCCUUCGGGGACAUGGAUACAGGUGGUGCAUGGUUGUCGUCAGCUCGUGUCGUGAGAUGUUGGGUUAAGUCCCGCAACGAGCGCAACCCUUAUUAUCAGUUGCCAGCAUUAAGUUGGGCACUCUGGUGAGACUGCCGGUGACAAACCGGAGGAAGGUGGGGAUGACGUCAAAUCGUCAUGCCCCUUAUGACCUGGGCUACACACGUGCUACAAUGGAUGGUACAACGAGUUGCGAACUCGCGAGAGUAAGCUAAUCUCUUAAAGCCAUUCUCAGUUCGGAUUGUAGGCUGCAACUCGCCUACAUGAAGUCGGAAUCGCUAGUAAUCGCGGAUCAGCAUGCCGCGGUGAAUACGUUCCCGGGCCUUGUACACACCGCCCGUCACACCAUGAGAGUUUGUAACACCCAAAGUCGGUGGGGUAACCUUUUAGGAACCAGCCGCCUAAGGUGGGACAGAUGAUUAGGGUG